ACCUUUAGCUCAGUUGGUAGAGCAACUGACUCUUAAUCAGUGGGUCGCGGGUUCGAGUCCCUCAAGGUCC
rnacentral:tRNA from 1 species